CCCUUAGAUGUUCUGGGCCGCACGCGCGCUACACUGACGAAUGCAACGAGCUUAUAACCUUGGCCGAAAGGUCUGGGUAAUCUCCAAAUUUCGUCGUGAUGGGGAUAGAUUAUUGCAAUUAUUAAUCUUCAACGAGGAAUGCCUAGUAAGCGCAAGUCAUCAGCUUGCGUUGAUUACGUCCCUGCCCUUUGUACACACCGCCCGUCGCUCCUACCGAUUGAAUGGUCCGGUGAAGCGCCCGGACCGCGGCCUCUUGACGGUUUUCCGUCGAUUGGCUGUGGGAAGUUCGUUAAACCUUAUCAUUUAGAGGAAGGAGAAGUCGUAACA
rnacentral:rRNA from 1 species